rfam:Beta vulgaris subsp. vulgaris Bvchr8.sca017.con0077.1, whole genome shotgun sequence.
AUACCUUUCUCGGCCUUUUGGCUAAGAUCAAGUGUAGUAUCUGUUCUUAUCAGUUUAAUAUCUGAUACGUGGGUUUGACCCACAACGAUAUUAAAUUUAUUUUUUUAGGGGGUGGAUCCACCACAAUAGCUUGCUAUUGGGAACCUCAAGUGUCGUUCAUGCGUUGCACUACUGUAUGGGCCUGGCGUACCCCAC